rnacentral:rRNA from 1 species
AGUGAACGCUGGCGGUAGGCCUAACACAUGCAAGUCGAACGGCAGCACAGUAAGAGCUUGCUCUUACGGGUGGCGAGUGGCGGACGGGUGAGGAAUACAUCGGCAUCUACUUUUUCGUGGGGGAUAACGUAGGGAAACUUACGCUAAUACCGCAUACGACCUACGGGUGAAUGCAGGGGAUCUUCGGACUUUGCGCGAUUGAAUGAGCCGAUGUCGGAUUAGCUAGUUGGCGGGGUAAAGGCCCACCAAGGCGACGAUCCGUAGCUGGUCUGAGAGGAUGAUCGGCCACACUGGAACUGAGACACGGUCCAGACUCCUACGGGAGGCAGCAGUAGGGAAUAUUGGACAAUGGGCGAAAGCCUGAUCCAGCCAUGCCGCGUGAGUGAAGAAGGCCUUCGGGUUGUAAAGCCCUGUUGUUAGGGAAGAAAAACAGCAGGAUAAUAUCCCGCUGUUCUGACGGUACCCAAAGAGUAAGCACCGGCUAACUUCGUG